GACGAACGCUGGCGGCGUGUUUAACACAUGCAAGUCGAACGGAAAGGCCCUGCUUUUGUGGGGUGCUCGAGUGGCGAACGGGUGAGUAACACGUGAGUAACCUGCCCUCGACUUUGGGAUAACUUCAGGAAACUGGGGCUAAUACCGGAUAGGAGCUCCUGCUGCAUGGUGGGGGUUGGAAAGUUUCGGCGGUUGGGGAUGGACUCGCGGCUUAUCAGCUUGUUGGUGGGGUAGUGGCUUACCAAGGCUUUGACGGGUAGCCGGCCUGAGAGGGUGACCGGCCACAUUGGGACUGAGAUACGGCCCAGACUCC
rnacentral:rRNA from 1 species